GAGUUUGAUCCUGGCUCAGGACGAACGCUGGCGGCGUGCCUAAUACAUGCAAGUGGAGCGACGAACCAGGGCUUGCCCUGGGGCAAAGCCGCGAACGGGUGAGUAACACGUGGGUAACCUGCCCUGAUGAUUGGGACAACCCGAGGAAACUCGGGCUAAUACCAAAUGUGCUCUUCGCCUUUAAGGGUGUUGAGGAAAGGUAGCUUCGGCUAACCGCAUCAGGAUGGGCCCGCGGCCCAUUAGCUUGUUGGUGAGGUAACGGCUCACCAAGGCUCCGAUGGGUAGCUGGUCUGAGAGGACGAUCAGCCACACUGGGACUGAGACACGGCCCAGACUCCUACGGGAGGCAGCAGUAGGGAAUCUUGCGCAAUGCGCGAAAGCGUGACGCAGCAACGCCGCGUGGAGGAAGACGGUCUUCGGAUUGUAAACUCCUUUCAGUUGGGACGAAGCUUUGGCGUUGAAUAGACGUUUCGGAGUGACGGUACCUUCAGAAGAAGCCCCGGCUAACUACGUGCCAGCAGCCGCCGCC
rnacentral:rRNA from 1 species